rnacentral:lncRNA from 1 species
CUCCUGCCUCAGCCUCCUGAGUAGCUGGGAUUACAGUCACAUACCACCAUGCCCAGCUAAUUUUUAUAUUUUUAGUAGAGACCGGGUUUCCCCAUGUUGGCCAGACUGGUCUCAAACUCCUGACCUCAGGUGGUCCAUCCACCUCGGCCUCCCAAAGUGCUGGGAUUACAGGCAUGAGCCACCACACUCGGCUGGCCAGUGAGUUUUAUUAGAUAAAAAGUAUGUAGAGAAUGUUUGAAAUUAUAUUUAUAACAGAAAAUGAAUGACCAUAUUCAUUUUGUUUUCUUUAUAAAAUAAGCUUCUUCUAAACAGUGAAAUGAUAUUUUUUCCUAGUUUUAUUAAGGUUUAGUUGGCAAAUAAAAAUUGUGUACAUUGACUGUGUACAAUGCAAUGUUUGAUGUAUGUAUACCUUGUGAAAUGAUUAAAUCCAGCUAAUCAACAUAUUCAUCAUCUCACAUAUUUUGUGGUGAGAAAAUUUAAAAUCUGCUAUUUUAGCAAUUUUCAAGUGUACAAUAUGUUGUUAACUAUAGUCACCGUGCUUCACAAUAGAUCAACAGAAUUCCUGUCUAACUGAAACUGUGUACCCUUUGAACAACAUCUCCCCAUGUUCCUCUGUGCCGCCCCCUUCCCACUGCCCCUUGCUCCUGGCAACUGCCACUCUACUCUCUGCUGCUAUGAAUUUGAUUUUUUAAGAUUCCGCAUGUAAGUGAGAUCAUACAAUGUUUGUCUCUCUGUCCCUGGCUUAUUUCAUUUAACAUAAUGUCCUCCAGGUUCAUCCACAUUGUUGAAAAUGACAGAAUUUCUUUCUUUGUAAACCCUGAAUAGUAGUAUUACAUUGUAUAUGUAUAUAUAUAUUAUAUAUAUAUCACAUUUUCUUUAUCCAUUCAUCUGUCAAUGGACACCUAAGUUGAUUCCACAUCUUGACUGUUAUGAAUAAUGCUGCAAUGAAUAUGAGAAUGUAGAUAUCUUUUCAAGAUACUUAUUUCAUUUCUUUUGGCUAUAUACCCAAAAAUGGGAUUGUUGCAUUAUAUGGUAGUUCUAUUUUUUAUUUUUUUAGAAACCUGCAGACUUAUUUUCUGUAAUAGCUAUUAUAAUUUACAUUCCCACCAACAGUGUAUAAGAGUUCCCUUUCUCCACAUCCUCACCAACACUUUUCUUUUGUCUGUUUGAUAAUAACCAUUCUAACAGAUGUGAGGUGAUAUCUUAUUGUGGUUUUAAAUUUUGUUUCCCUGAUGUCUAGUGAUGUUAAACAUUUUUUCAUAUACCUGUUGGCCAUUUGGAUGUCUUCUUUUGAGAAAUGUCUUUUCAGGUUCAUUUUUAAUUGGGUUGUUUAUUUUCUUGCUAUUGAGUUCUUUGAGUUCCCUAUAUGUUUUGGAUAUUGGAUAUUAACCCUUUAUCAGAUGAUUGGUUCACAAAUGUUUUCUCUCAUUCCAUAGGUUGCAUCUUCAUU